UUAGAGUUUGAUCAUGGCUCAGAUUGAACGCUGGCGGCAGGCCUAACACAUGCAAGUCGAACGGUAACAGGAAGAAGCUUGCUUCUUUGCUGACGAGUGGCGGACGGGUGAGUAAUGUCUGGGAAACUGCCUGAUGGAGGGGGAUAACUACUGGAAACGGUAGCUAAUACCGCAUAACGUCGCAAGACCAAAGAGGGGGACCUUCGGGCCUCUUGCCAUCGGAUGUGCCCAGAUGGGAUUAGCUAGUAGGUGGGGUAACGGCUCACCUAGGCGACGAUCCCUAGCUGGUCUGAGAGGAUGACCAGCCACACUGGAACUGAGACACGGUCCAGACUCCUACGGGAGGCAGCAGUGGGGAAUAUUGCACAAUGGGCGCAAGCCUGAUGCAGCCAUGCCGCGUGUAUGAAGAAGGCCUUCGGGUUGUAAAGUACUUUCAGCGGGGAGGAAGGGAGUAAAGUUAAUACCUUUGCUCAUUGACGUUACCCGCAGAAGAAGCACCGGCUAACUCCGUGCCAGCAGCCGCGGUAAUACGGAGGGUGCAAGCGUUAAUCGGAAUUACUGGGCGUAAAGCGCACGCAGGCGGUUUGUUAAGUCAGAUGUGAAAUCCCCGGGCUCAACCUGGGAACUGCAUCUGAUACUGGCAAGCUUGAGUCUCGUAGAGGGGGGUAGAAUUCCAGGUGUAGCGGUGAAAUGCGUAGAGAUCUGGAGGAAUACCGGUGGCGAAAGGCGGCCCCCUGGACGAAGACUGACGCUCAGGUGCGAAAGCGUGGGGAGCAAACAGGAUUAGAUACCUUGGUAGUCCACGCCGUAAACGAUGUCGACUUGGAGGUUGUGCCCUUGAGGCGUGGCUUCCGGAGCUAACGCGUUAAGUCGACCGCCUGGGGAGUACGGCCGCAAGGUUAAAACUCAAAUGAAUUGACGGGGGCCCGCACAAGCGGUGGAGCAUGUGGUUUAAUUCGAUGCAACGCGAAGAACCUUACCUGGUCUUGACAUCCACGGAAGUUUUCAGAGAUGAGAAUGUGCCUUCGGGAACCGUGAGACAGGUGCUGCAUGGCUGUCGUCAGCUCGUGUUGUGAAAUGUUGGGUUAAGUCCCGCAACGAGCGCAACCCUUAUCCUUUGUUGCCAGCGGUCCGGCCGGGAACUCAAAGGAGACUGCCAGUGAUAAACUGGAGGAAGGUGGGGAUGACGUCAAGUCAUCAUGGCCCUUACGACCAGGGCUACACACGUGCUACAAUGGCGCAUACAAAGAGAAGCGACCUCGCGAGAGCAAGCGGACCUCAUAAAGUGCGUCGUAGUCCGGAUUGGAGUCUGCAACUCGACUCCAUGAAGUCGGAAUCGCUAGUAAUCGUGGAUCAGAAUGCCACGGUGAAUACGUUCCCGGGCCUUGUACACACCGCCCGUCACACCAUGGGAGUGGGUUGCAAAAGAAGUAGGUAGCUUAACCUUCGGGAGGGCGCUUACCACUUUGUGAUUCAUGACUGGGGUGAAGUCGUAACAAGGUAACC
rnacentral:rRNA from 1 species